UUUGUGUGUGUGUUGUGUGUGUGUAUGUGUAUACGCACUUAAUGUAGUCUGUCAGCCCAGUAAGAGUUUUACAAGCACUUGAUAAGCUUUACAUGUGUUAAGAGACUGCACAGUGUCAUCCA